rnacentral:rRNA from 1 species
ACUCAAAGGAAUAGACGGGGGCCCGCACAAGCAGCGGAGCAUGUGGUUUAAUUCGAAGCAACGCGAAGAACCUUACCAAGGCUUGACAUCCAAUUAAAGCUAUGGAAACAUAGUGUCCCUUCGGGGGAAUUGAGACAGGUGGUGCAUGGUUGUCGUCAGCUCGUGUCGUGAGAUGUUGGGUUAAGUCCCGCAACGAGCGCAACCCCUGUGAUCGGUUACCAGCACGUUAAGGUGGGGACUCCGAUCAGACUGCCGGGGACAACUCGGAGGAAGGUGGGGACGACGUCAAAUCAUCAUGCCCCUUACGUCUUGGGCUACACACGUGCUACAAUGGCUGUAACAAAGGGAAGCAACAACGCAAGUUGAAGCGGAUCUCGUAAAAACAGUCCCAGUUCGGAUCGUGGGCUGCAACCCGCCCACGUGAAGUCGGAGUUGCUAGUAAUCGCGAAUCAGCAUGUCGCGGUGAAUACGUUCCCGGGCCUUGUACACACCGCCCGU